rnacentral:rRNA from 1 species
AAUCAACGCUGGCGGCGUGCCUCAGACAUGCAAGUCGAACGAUUAAAGCUCUCUUCGGAGAGUGCAUAGAGUGGCGCACGGGUGAGUAACACGUAAGUAAUCUACCUUCGAGUGGGGAAUAACCCAGGGAAACCCGAGCUAAUACCGCAUAACGCAGCGGCAUCGCAAGAUGACAGUUGUUAAAGGAGCAAUCCGCUUGAAGAGGAGCUUGCGGCAGAUUAGCUAGUUGGUAAGGUAACGGCUUACCAAGGCUACGAUCUGUAUCCGGUCUAAGAGGACGGUCGGACACACUGACACUGAAUAACGGGUCAGACUCCUACGGGAGGCAGCAGUCGGGAAUUUUGGGCAAUGGGCGGAAGCCUGACCCAGCAACGCCGCGUGAAGGAUGAAGUAUUUCGGUAUGUAAACUUCGAAAGAAUGGGAAGAAUAAAUGACGGUACCAUUUAUAAGCUCCGGCUAACUACGUGCCAGCAGCCGCCGUAAGAC